rnacentral:lncRNA from 1 species
AUUUUAUGUACCCAUAUUAUAGUUAGUGAUAUAAAGUAUUCGCCUUUAUAUUCUGAAAAGUUUUACAAAAUACUUUACAGAAAAACCGAUGGAUUUACAUUGUAGGAAUACAUGUUCCAGUGCAAACGCUCAGAAAAUAAUUCAGCUGAUAUGAGCCCAGAGUCUAUUUUUGACAAUUUGUACAGGGACUAUAAAAAAAAUCUUGAAAUAGUUCCGACCAAACAUUCAAAACAUAUAUAUGCAUAAUGCCAUAAUUGACAAGCUGCGUACUUAUGCAUGCAUGUUUACAAUACUGACUGCUGUAUCCACAUUUUAAUUUUUUUUACCUAAUGAGUAUUGUAUCUGUUUAUUUUGUUCACACAUCAUUGUCAAUAUAAUGGAUUUUCAUGCGACUGUCAUUGAAGUGAAAGGUCUAUCUAGCUUUAAAACCAGGUAUAAUCCAUCAUGUUCUAAAUAAGGAAAUGCCUGUACCAAGUAAGGUAUAUAACAGUUGUUAUCUAUUCGUUUGGUGUGUUUUGCCAUUUGAUUAAGGGCUUUUUGGUUUUAAUUUUCCUUGGAGAACGGUAUUUUUUUAUUUCACUUUUUAUCAAUGUAAAGGAAUAACAUCUUAUUUAUGAAUAUUUAUUUCUGACCCCCCCUUUUUUUUUU